CGGUAAUUCCAGCUCCAAUAGCGUAUACUAAAGUUGUUGCAGUUAAAAAGCUCGUAGUUGGAUUUCUGCGGGGACGGAGCGGCCGGACGCAACUUGCGUCUCGAGCUAGCGCUUUCCCCGCAUCCUGCCGCGAACCGUGCUACCAUUAGCUUGGUGGCGCUGGGGAUCGGCUCGAUUACUUUGAGAAAAAUAGAGUGUUCAAAGCAGGCCACACGCCUUGAAUAAGUUAGCAUGGAAUAAUGACUAAGGACUUUGGUUCUUUUCGUUGGUGUUCGGGACUGAGGUAAUGAUUGAUAGGGACAGUUGGGGCGGUCUGUAUUCCAAAGCGAGAGGUGAAAUUCUUAGACCUUCGGAAGACAAACAGCUGCGAAAGCGUUCCGCAAGGAUGUUCCCUUUGAUCAAGAACGAAAGUUGGGGGAUCGAAGACGAUCAGAUACCGUCGUAGUCUCAACUAUAAACUAUACCAGCUAGGGAUCGGCCAACGUUUAAUUAUUCGACUUGGUCGGCACCUUAUGAGAAAUCAAAGCAUCUGGGUUCCGGGGGGAGUAUGGUCGCAAGGCUGAAACUUAAAGGAAUUGACGGAAGGGCACCACCAGGCGUGGAGCCUGUGGCUUAAUUUGACUCAACACGGGAAAACUUACCAGGUCCAGACAUAGGAAGGAUUGACAGAUUGAUAGCUCUUUCUUGAUUCUGUGGGUGGUGGUGCAUGGCCGUUUUUAGUCGGUGAAGUGAUUUGUCUGCUUAAUUGCGUUAACGGACGAGACCCCAGCCUGCUAAAUAGCGCGGCCGAGCUUUGCUCGGUGCGAGCUUCUUAGAGGGACCAUGAUGCGCGAUAGCACAAGGAAGUUUGGGGCAACAACAGGUCUGUGAUGCCCUUAGAUGUUCUGGGCCGCACACGGGCUACACUGGCGCCUGCAACGAGCAUAUCAGCUGGCCCGAGAGGGUCUUGGCUAAUCUUUGGAACCGGCGCCGUGCUUGGGAUUGACCAUUGCAAUUGUUGGUCAUGCAACGAGGAAUGCCUUGUAAACGCGAGUCAUCAGCUCGCAUUGAAUACGUCCCUGCCCUUUGUACACACCGCCCGUCGCUCCUACCGAUGAAUGUUCCGAUGAAAUUUUCGGAGAGCGCCGGAGAACGGGGCUCUGCCCUGCAGAACUGGAGGCUCAAAGUCACUUAAAUCUGAACAUUUCGAGGAAGGAGAAGUCGUAACAAGGUAACC
rnacentral:rRNA from 1 species